rnacentral:misc_RNA from 1 species
GGAAGUAAAAGUCGUAACAAGAUUUCCGUAGGUGAACCUGCGGAAGGAUCAUUACAGAGUUCAUGCCCUCACGGGUAGAUCUCCCACCCUUGAAUAUUUAUACCUUAGUUGCUUUGGCAGGCCGUGGAAACACCAUGGGCUCCGGCUUAUGCGUGCCUGCCAGAGGAAACAAACUCUGUUUUUAGUGAUGUCUGAGUACUAUAUAAUAGUUAAAACUUUCAACAACGGAUCUCUUGGUUCUG